CAUUCUGCAGGUUGAUGAAUACUAAUGAAGCUGUGGGUGUCACUGAGCAGCUUCAUUUUAAAGUUACCCUGACUUACAUCUGCUGCAGUAAUUCUGAGAUUGGUGGUAAAUGUCGGUGUGGUGUAGCUUAAUGGAUUUUGGUCUGAUCAAUGAUGAAACCAAUCCCGAAGCUGAUAACCUGGAGAAAGGCAUGUACGGAUUCGGCUUCUGAGACAAGACUAAUGUGCAGAUUGAGGGGUUGCUGUCUGCCUGUUGAAAGAAGUCGGUGUGCUGUGACAUUUCGAAGGUGGAAACAUUUCUGACUAGUGCUGCGAGAUUUACUUGUCUGUCAUAUGAAAAAUCUGGUGAUUGGGAAAAUCUCCAUUUUAUGGAUGUGGGAAGAAAGUUCAAGAUGAAUUAUAUUUUUACAUUGAUUUGUACAUAGAUUCUGAACCAGCAUAGAGUCUAGAUAAUGCAUUCAUAAGAGUCAAGGCAUUUCUGUUUGACCAUGACACUACUGUAGAAUCAUAACCUGUUAACCAGUGUAUUACUUUCUACCUGUGAAACUAUUUUGAAAGGAAAAUUCUAGUUAUCCAGCCUUGUAAUUAAAUAAUUUUGAAUAGCCUUUGGUUCUCUGUCUGUCUGAAUUGAGUUUAAAACUGCGUGAUUGUAAUUAACACCAAGUUAAAGUGUAUACUCUUGCGGUGGAAUCUUUAGUCAGAUUUCUAUGGAGAGAUAAUUUGGUUUGGCAAGAAUAAGUAAUGUGGAAAAUGUUAGCUUCAAUCAGGGUGUUAUGUAUUACUGAAUUAAUGGGGUGAGAGCAAAGUGUAAGAGAUGGGACCUGUUAACAGUGAGGGAAGGUCACUGAUAAAAUCUGGGUUAAAACUGGUCAAGCACUGUAUGGAAUGGGUUAAAUAAUAGCAUCUAAUCUAACCGAGGUGGUUGGGCCCUGCUGCUGUUAAGUCUUCAAUCGUGUCCAACUCUGCGACCCCAUUCUCUAGGCAAGAAUACUGGAGUGGGUUGCCAUUUCCUUCUCCUGUUGGGCCCUAACCCUAACCUGUUCCCAUAUUUAAAUGUUAAAGUCAGUGCCAAUAUUAUCAUCUGAAUGAACUCUUAAAUUGUUUGCCUGCAGAAGUGAAGAGAUGAUUUUGGGGCCCAUGUACCUCAGAUUCAUGAGACUGAGCCUGUAGUUGAGUGCCCAGUAUUUCUUGUGGUGGUAAAUGACCUCCAUGUAUAACUUCAUGUUAGUGCAUUUAUUAUGUCCAUUCAGAAAUGAGACUGCAGUCAGCACCCUGAUCUCCCUUACUCUGCUGUAUUUGGAACUGAAGUGUGGUUUAUAAAAUCUGAGCACUGGCAUACCUGUAUCUAGACACCUUAAUAACAACCUGGCACUUGGUUGCCAAUAAAUGUUGAAUGCUUAAUUGAGGGGGACUUUGAUGGUCCAGUGGUUAAGAUUGCUUCCAGUGUAGGUGCUGCGGGUAGGGUUGGUGAGCCCACAUGCAGAGUGGUGCAGCCAAAAACCUAAAACUGAAUGGCUAACAUGACAUUAAAACAUCAAAACAAGGCAAACUUAAGAAUCAGACUUGGUUUUAGAGCACUUAAGUUUUCCCUUAUGGCUCAGUUGGUAAAGGAUCUGUCUGCAAUGCAGGAGUCCCUUUCCCUCCCAGUCAAUCUUAAGAUUCAAAUGAUGUACACAUGUUUAAUUGCACUAUAGUGGGUUGGAUCCCACUACAAUGAGAGUUUGAUCCAAAUAAAAAUAAGUCCACUUGAGAGUGUAAGUAUUAAAAAUGGAUUGAAAACAUACAGUUGUGGAAGUUGGGAAAGCUCAUUGUACUGAUGCAAUGGAUAUGACUGAGCAAACUCAAAGGCAAGGGAAGCCUAGGAUGCUGCUGUUCACGCCAGUAAUAAUUUUCUCAGCUUUACACCAUGCUUCCAGGUUAUCUUAAAAUACAGUAGAUUGAAUACUGUUUGGUAUUUUCUAGUGAAGUGAAGGUUGCUCAGUCACAUCCAACUCUUUGCAACCCAUUGGACUGUGUAGUCCAUGGUAUUCUCCAGGUCAGAAUACAUUCCCUUCUCCAGGAGAUCUUCCCAACCCAGGGGUCUUACCCAUGUCUCCUACAUUGCAAGCAGAUUCACUGAAGUGAGCCACCAGGGAAGCCCAAACUAGUUAUAUUGCCAGAAAUCCAAUAUCCAUUGCACUUGGCUUCCUUAUCAAGUGCCCUCUGAACUGUUUAUACUGUUCAUAAUCCUUGCUGUUUGCCCAGCUUCUGAGAACUUUUGGCUGUUUUUAAACCAGUUUCUCCAUUAAACUUAGAGCCUUUAAAUGCCAACCUAUGUACAGAUAACCAGGCUUCCCUGGUGGCUCAGGGUAAAGCGUCUGCCUGCAAUGCGAGAGACCUGGGUUCAAUCCCUGGGUCGGGAAGAUCCCCUGGAGAAGGAAAUGGCAACCCACUCCAGUAUUGUUGCCUGGAGAACAGCACAGACGGAGGAGCCUGGUAGGCUACAGUCCACGGAGUUGCAAAGAGUCACACGACUGAGUGACUUCACUUUGCUUUUUCCUUUCCUAUAUACAGAUGAGUCAAAAUACAAGCAUGCUACAGUUUCUAUGGAUCAUCUUGAGGUGGAAGAAGGGUACCUUUCCAGUAUGAAAACCAGACUUGGUCUCAUUCUCACAAAUCCUGGCCUCAUCUUCUGACCACUAGUCAACCUGAGGUCCUGACAUGCUAUGCAGCUGAGUUAUAACAGGAUAUAGAUUUAACCUCACAAGAAUCCCACACUGAGUACAGUAUAAUACAUCCAUCUUAUUUGGAAACUUCACCUUAGUUAUGCUUAGUUGAUUAAGUUCUCUUCAAAAGAGUUAACAAUGGAAAGAGCAUUUCAGAAUACUCAGAAUUCACCAUUUGAAGAAGAUGUUUGCUAACAGUGAUUACUGAGGUCAGGGAACUUGACCCUUGCCUCCUAACUACUGAAUAUAUAUAUGUGUCAAUAAAUGGUUCAUUUUAAAAGUG